CAAUAGCGUAUACUAACGUUGUUGCAGUUAAAAAGCUCGUAGUUGGAUUUCUGACGGUGGUUGGAUUGGUGCGACCGCGUGUUGCAUCAACCAUACUAUUGUCAACACAUGCGAUGAGUUGGUGUGGUCAAUUUAGUUUGAUUCGCCAUUUAAUCGCUCGUUUACUUUGAGAAAAUUAGAGUGUUCAAAGCAGGCAUCUUGCCUUGAAUAUGUUAGCAUGGAAUAAUAGCAUAGGACUUUGGUUCUAUUUGUUGGUUGUUCGAGAACCGGAGUAAUGAUUGAUAGGGACGGUUGGGGGCAUCCGUAUUCUCAAGCGAGAGGUGAAAUUCUUGGACCUUGGGAAGACGAACAGCUGCGAAAGCGUUUGCCUAGGACGUUCUCUUUAA
rnacentral:rRNA from 1 species